rnacentral:rRNA from 1 species
UACGGGGGGGGUAAGCGUUGUUCGGAAUUACUGGGCGUAAAGGGCUCGUAGGCGGCCAACUAAGUCGGACGUGAAAUCCCUCAGCUUAACUGGGGAACUGCGUCCGAUACUGGAUGGCUUGGAUUUGGGAGAGGGAUGCGGAAUUCCAGGUGUAGCGGUGAAAUGCGUAGAUAUCUGGAGGAACACCGGUGGCGAAGGCGGCUCUCUGGAACGCAACUGACGCUGAGACGCGAAAGCGUGGGGAGCAAACAGG